rnacentral:lncRNA from 1 species
AGUGAUUACAGUAGUAACUUCUUAGAUCACUUGGCCACCAAGGCCCCAGUAUGAAAUGGAAAGCAAACUUGUCCAUUUAGCCACAGUGACUGAUAUACUGUAAUGUAUAUAUCUAUCAAUCAUUACCUCUUUAUUUUAUCUAGAUCUACACAUUUAUCAAAUUUUUAUACAAAGGCUAAUUAGAAAAAAUAACAAUUGUGAUUUCUACUAUAUUUUUUAUUUCUUCUCACGUAGUUACAUUUUCUUCAGCUUUCUUUUCAAUGCUAGUAUCUAGUGCAGAUAUAGAUUUUGUUUGUCCUAAAUUUUCUGAAACAUCAGAUUCCUGUGUUCCUCCUUCAACAAUUGGUUUACUCUCGCUGGCUACAUUUUGUAAUCUAGGGUCUGCAUGAAUAGUUUCUGUCAAAUUUUCUGGCAACUGGUGUAAUUUGUACUGAAAUAUAAUCAAAAUAUCAUUAAUCUCCAUUAAUUUUUAUAUAACUUCUAAUUAAACAGAUCUAGACAUAAGGGACAUGUGUUUGUACUUUGUAGUGGAUAAAUAAAUAAAAACACAAAUAUUUUAUUAACUUCUCAAAUC